CUAGUUGGGUUGGCGCCCCAAGGCGAUCAGCGGGGCGCAGGGGAGGAGGAUGCAGUCGUCGUCGCAGGCGAGGUCGUCGUCGUACUACGCCGUGCUCGGCGUCCACCCGGGCGCCUCCGCCACCGAGAUACGAAGCGCCUACCACCGCCUGGCCAUGGUGAGUACAACUGCUCCUCCGGUCGAUCGGGUUCCUUCCGGAUCGGAUCGGAUCGCUCUGGUUUGGUUUUGUUUGCACCGGCGAGCUUGACAAGAAAAGAAACAGAGCAUGACUUGCUUGGUUUCUGCCGGCGAUGCAUGCAGAGGUGGCACCCGGACAAGAUCGCCAGCGGCCGCGCGGCGGACCCGGCGCGCGCGGAGGAGGCCAAGGCCAUGUUCCAGCAGAUACACGAGGCCUACCAAGGUAAACCAUUCGAAUCCAUCUCUUCCUUCAUGGUUCACCAUGCCUCUGUCUCUGGUCGCGAUGCAUUGGACGCUGUUGCUAACAUGAACACCUUUUUCGGCUGUGUCGCGUCUGCAGUGCUGUCGGACGAGAAGAGGAGGGCGCUCUACGACGCCGGGAUGUACCACCCGCUCGACGACGACCAGGAGGACGUGGAGGUGAGCAAGAUCCGCCCAAUUGCCAUUGCUCUUUCUUCCCCUGCUGCUGCACCUGCCCUGCAGGUUAAUCUGACCAUGUGCUCCGUGUGUUCCAGGGAUUCCAUGACUUCCUUCAGGAGAUGAUCUCGCUCAUGGCCACCGUGGGGAGGGAGGUAAGCUACCUCGUACUCAUGCCAUUGCACCUCGCAUUAAUCGGCCAAGCUGCCAACAUUCCUGCAGCAUCGAAUGAAUGAAUCAUAACUGACGGAUCGCUUCUUUUUCCGCUCGUGC
rnacentral:lncRNA from 1 species